AGUUUUAGCGCGAAGAUGGCACCGCGCAUUCGCUGUCCGAACAGACGGCCAGCGAUCUCCGACCAUUAAAACCGGCGGGAACUUCCUUUGCAACGGAAAAUGCAGAAGCGCCGCGACGCUCAGCAACAAGCCCGCUCCCUAGCCUCCACGCUCCUCUCCCUCUCAUCCACAUUUAACGAGCCUAUUACCUCUGAGCCGGUGCUGGAAAUUGAACUAAACGAACUCGAAUCCGAAACAGAAUGAUUUCCGGAGCUACUACCGCAGGAUGAGUUUAACGAGCCUGCUCUGAUAGAUCUCGAUGUGCUCCAGGCUUUGAAGCUCAAAGGUUCAGAGGCUCGUAAGUGGUUAUCGAAGCAACUGUUGCUUCCUGAAUGGAUGAUAGAUGUUCCUGAUCGGCUUAGCGAAGACUGAUGCGCACUUGCAAGGCCUUCCGGUAAACGAUGCUUUGUAGUUUCUUCAAACGGAACAACUAUCAGCAGGCUACGAAAUGGAUCACUUCUGCAUCGUUUUCCUUCUGCUCUACCUAACGGAGCAAAGACAAAAAAAAUGCCUCUGGAUCCGGUCAAACAUAUUCUAUUCUAUAUUGUAUAUUUCAUGAACUGAGUUUCGCUUCUUCUGGCUCAAUUCCAAGCUUGUUGAAACUGGUGAUUGUGAGCCACCUUCAUAGUAUCACGAAUAUAAAUUCAGCUCGAUACCUGUAUAUACAUGCCAUCAAAAUAGUCUCUAUGUCGCUUAUACAGGAGCCAUACCUUUUGUCAAGGAUGAUCUAUUAUUUUACAAGCAUUCCCAUUACCAGCCAGGUACACCACUUGCAUUGGUCUGGAAGGAUGAGAAUUGCAGUCGAUAUGUUAUUGACACAGAUAAAAUGGACAAGUUCCAAGCCAACAGCAGCUGGUUUUGGAGCUACAAGGUGACGGAAAGGGUGCUACAUUAGAUGAUCCUUCUGUGGACAUUGGUUGCUUAGAUGGUGACUUGAUCGAAAAGGUUUUGUUGAUCCAAAUUUAACCCUUUCUAUGGUUCAUUAGUGUUAAAAUUCUUUUGUUUAUUACAUGUUGCUUCCUAAGACUACAUUUUUGCUUGCAAUGAGGUCUGUGGUUAUUAUGUCUUCUUUCUGUCCUUGUUGGUUUGUUGUGUAAUUUGGCAUGGUACCUAUGUCACCAUAUCUUAGUUUUAAUGUUGUUAUUGGGGAUUGUGUUAGCUGAAGAAACUGUUGCUUGAUAUUGGCAUCUCUCUCUCUCUCUUUGCAUCUCAUAUUUUGGUCUCCCUUUCUGUUACAUACAUCCCUUCUCAAUUACUUCAUUUCUUUUCACUUAUUUGGCUCCCCUGCUAUGAUAUCCCUUGGUCACUCUACUCUCUUUUUAUCCUUUGGUUUAGAUUCUUACGGAUGUUUGUAGUGGUUAUGGUCCUCAGAGCCAGGCUUAUCAUUCUAUGUUGAAGACAUUUUGCGUCCUCUUCUUUGACUAGACUUUUAUGUUUAACUUGUUUAUUUGGCAUCUCAUGAGACAUACUGUUGGGAAGGAUCAAGAGGGUGUAGACGAGUA